UGCAGCCGGUCAGGUUUUUUUGCCAUGUGACUUCCUAUCAAUUAAUAGUCAAUGACCUUGUCACGUCCAAUCCCAUCGACAGCUUAAAUUGUUCGUUAGGUCACACCUGCUCCAUUUUACAAGGUGGUAGUAUUUCGGAAGAUUAUGAGCUUUCCAUGAGUACACUGAGUCUGCAAAUCUUCCCUCUCAGCCAGCUGUCUACAUCUGCGCUCAUAUUUCAGCUCUGCUUGAAGCUGGUCAAUCUUCAUCAGGAGACUUAUGGUGUCGGUUCUCAUUCCAGGACUUUGAUCAUCUUCCACCUCAAAGGAAUUGGAGUAACAAACGCAGUCUAAAGAUUUUAGGUUCCUGAAAACAUAUUCAAAUUAGGCUGGUCUACACAAGGUGAACUCAAUUCAAGAGGAGGAGAUUCCGGCAGUUCCAACAGAGUGACUCAGAGACUUUGUUCCACAAAAUGGGACAGAAUGAAUGUAAUAUAAUGGGUCCUUGACCUAUACAUUACAUAAAAGCUCUUAUUAUGAAUGUCACUAUUCUCUUUAUGGCAAUGUGUCCUGAAUAGUUACAUAAA